GCCAUGAUGGCACAUGUGUAUAGUCCCAUCUACUCUGGAGGUUGAGUUGGAAGUAUUGCUUGAGACCAAUAAUUCUGGGCUGUAGUGCACUUGGCUGACAGGGUGUCUACACUAAGUUCAGCAUCAAUAUGUUUAUCUCAUGAGAGUGAUGGACCACCAGGUUGCUGAAGGAGAGCUGAAAUAGCCCAGGUUGGGAACAGAGCAUAUCAAAACUCCUGUGCUGAUCUGUAGUGGAAUUGUGCCUGUGAAUAGCUACCACACUCAAGCCAGAGCAACAUAGUGAGACUUGGUCUCU
ensembl:misc_RNA Metazoa_SRP Metazoan signal recognition particle RNA